rnacentral:lncRNA from 1 species
AGGUGGUAAAUCCUGGCCAAGGCUCCUCGAGCCAGGCCGGCUGGCAGUGCUGCAUCGUGCUGAAGGCGCUGAGGUUGCAGCGGAUGCAUUCCGGGCCAGUGAUAUGAUGUGGACAGGAAAAGUCUUUUGUUCUGGGAAAAUGGAGGACUGAAACCUCUUCAUGUCUUUUUCCCAGGCCCUGAUUUAGGAAGACCAAAACAGGGACUUCUACAGUAGCAGCUUAAUCAGCAGAUGCUGGGUGGUCGCCUCUGCACAUGGCCUGGGGGGCGGGGCGCCUUACCGCGUCACACUGGGUGGAUGGGCCUGUGUGUGGCCUCUCUCCAGCUGUGGCUGACAGUACUCACUCAGCCCAGGCUUCCAGGCCCUCCUGGGCCCUCCUAUCCACUGAAGGAAAUGGGAGAUGAGUGGGUAAUGGAAAAGCCUUUGGAGUCAGAUGUAAAUCCAUGACUUGACCACUUAUUGCUGUGAGACCCUGGACAGCUGGAUAUAGAGUUCUUGUUCUAGCAUCCGCCCUGGGAAUCCCCGGAACUGGGCCUCUUACCGACACCAUUGCCUGUAAUCCACAAACCUAGGAGCACAUGGUUAAAGCAUGAGAUGUGAAACCAGGAAGAACCAGGUCUGAACCUUAGCUCCACCAGUGGUAGCUUCAAACCUUGGUCCUUUCUGAGCCUGCUUCUUCAACCGUAAGGGAACGCUACACUUCCUUAGAAAUUAAGAGUGUGUGCUACACUGCUUUACCAGAGCAAGGCCAAAAGCAGCUUCAAUUAUGGUACAACUGUGUGAAGACACAAUGCAAAACCACUCAAGAAUGCUCACUCAAAUGGAUUUUUACCAUGCGUCUACAAUGUGGAAGCAAGUCCUGAGUGAAUAUGCAACCCUGCUCCACCUAUGGGGAAGUGGGACCAGAACCAGAAACAUCAGCACACAGGGACACAGCCCUGGAAACACAACCUCUGCUUUCAAAGCAGAUUGGCCACUAAGAGUUUUUAUUACCUAUUUUCUUUGCCAUAUUGUAGUUCCCAAUUCUCAAAAAUAAAAAUGUUAAGAGAAAUAUGAAAGACGGCUAAAAAGAGAGAAGAAACAAUGAAAAAGGAGAUGGCUCAUGCCUGUAAUCCCUUUGGGAGGCCGAGGCGGGUGGAUCACGAGGUCAGGAGAUCAAGACCAUCAUGGCUAACAGGAUGAAACCCCGUCUCUACUAAAAAUACAAAAAAUUAGCCGAGCAUGGUGGCAGGAGCCUGUAGUCCCAGCUAACUGGGAGGCUGAGGCAGGAGAAUGGUGUGAACCCAGGAGGCGGAACUUGCAGUGAGUGGAGAUCGCACCACUGCACUCCAACCUGGGCGACAGAGCAAGACUCCGUCUCAAAAAGAAAAAGAAAAAGAAAAAGAAAAAGGACAGAAGGGCAAAAAAGAAACAGGUACAGGGGACAUGGAGAGGUGGUCAGGGACACGGAUAUGGGCACAAGAAAGAGGAGGGAGAGAGAGAGGAGGAAGUUCUUGGCACAGAACUAGUCCUUCUCUACCCUCGAUUUAUUCUCAAGAAAUAAGAAAGUACGUUUUGUUUUGAUAGUCACUUAAUAGCAACAUGAACUGGCAGGUAGGAGAGUGGAGUCAGUGGAAACAGCUGCCAAAGCAGGGGUCAUGGAGAAGAACCAUAGGCAGGCAACACACACACACUGUGUGUGCUCCGCAACAAAGGUGCCAUUAGUCUCAAAGCAUAGUGGAUCAGUGAGUUGGGCUUAUGAAUGUUCCCAAGUCUUUUCCACUUCUGACCACAUUUUGAGUAUGUGUUAAUCAAAUUCAUCUCCUAAAUAUUUAGUAUAAGGCUUUAUGUAAUGAGUUCUCAAAUGCAUGUUGCUGAGCCACUGACAGCAGGAAACAAGCUACCUCCCACCAGGAAACCACUAACUAGUUUAUAUGCCUGUAACACAUAUCACUGUAAUUCUGGGUCCUAACAAAAACCUUUUUCAUAAAAACGGGUACCAGUCAGGAAGACCCAAAUGCAUAUUAGGGAAGUAAUUAUCUAUUACUCUCUAGGAUACUGAUAAAGGAAGGGACUUCCAUGUCAAUUUCUAAAUAUUCAAGAGGCCUUGAAUAUCCCAAGGUGCCUGUUAGGGUCAUUAUUUUGAAACUAAAAGCAGACCUGGCCUCUUCUGAUUAAGAAAGCACACACACACACACUUUUCACUCUGACUGUUGACAAUUCAAGCCCAUGCACAGUACAUGCUUCCUUGGGAAUACCUCUCGUGUAUAUACUCUGGUAGGGCCAGGCCUAUAGGGGCAUCCUGUUGCCUUCAAUGCUGAACUUGACAGCACGAUGCACUUUGCUGAGUCGUUUCUGUUCUGCAAAUCGCCUCUUAUGCUUUUCCAAUCGGCUUAGGCCCUUUUUAAGAAUACCAGGCUAGAAGUAGUAGUUUGAUUGGAGAAUAAAAA